rnacentral:rRNA from 1 species
UACGGGGGGAGCAAGCGUUGUUCGGAUUUACUGGGCGUAAAGGGCGCGUAGGCGGUCGUGACAAGUCACUUGUGAAAUCUCCAGGCUUAACUCGGAACGGUCAAGUGAUACUGUCGGACUAGAGUACAGAAGGGGCAACUGGAAUUCUCGGUGUAGCGGUGAAAUGCGUAGAUAUCGAGAGGAACACCUGCGGCGAAGGCGGGUUGCUGGGCUGAUACUGACGCUGAGGCGCGAAAGCCAGGGGAGCGAACGGG